AUUCGGGCCACCUGCUGGGCUGAAGGUGAAGGCAAGUGCUGAGCGAGGGUCGCCUCUCCUGGGAGCCUCUGGCUGAUGGGAGCAAAGAUUAAUCAUCUUCUCCUUGCGCGGUUCGGCCACGGUAUCUUUGUCACAAUGAUGGGAAGCUUACUAACAGAGGCGUCACAGCAGAGCUCUCUGGAAGCCCCGGGAGUUGCACAACCUCUCAAAGGGUCAUGGCCUCUGCUGCCCCUCCUGCUGCCCUCCCAGGAAGAAACAAGGGAAUGUGAAUGAGGACCAGUCCUGCUCCAGAGAGCAUCCCAAGCUCGGCUCUCACUGAGAGGAAAAGUUAAUUAAUCCUCCACAACCACAAAGGGGGGAAAAACAGAACAAUGAGAAUAGUGUGCUAAGGUUUUUGUGCAACGUGGGGAAAAUAGAACAGAAUGUGAAUGUGUCUGUGUCUGCUUAGAUGGAAGGAUGCCUCCAAAAGCUGUAAAGACGGUUGCCUCUGGGAAGAGAGCCUGCCAGGAAGAAAGCAAGGAGGCAUUCCAGCGUGUUCCCUUCUGGGCCUUUGGAAACAGUUGAAGAAGGAAACACAGAGGCUUGGCACACAGCUCAGUGAUGGCCACUUGCCUAGCUGGCCCCAGGUUCGUCCUUAGCACUAGAGACAGAGUAAAUAUAAAAUGCGCACAAGUGUUUGAUGGAAUAAGCAACAGACCACUGAAGGUACCCCACAUGAUGGUACCCUACAACUGAGGUCUAAAAUGAGUAAAUCCUCUUCUCUGUGUGUAUGUACUUCUGGUAAUCAAACUCAGGUCUCAUGUGUGCCAGACAAGUGUUCCAUUACUGAGCUACAACAUAAGGUGACUUUUUCAAGGGAUUCUCAGAAUUAAGGUCUGGGGAUUGGGGAUCAGAAUCCCAGAACUCCUUGAUGAUGGUCAUCCUUCUAGUAGGUGGCCUUUUUAUUUCUUUUUUCUGUUAUCUUCCUGUUUCUGCCUUUGCCCAGAGGUCCAGCGUGCCGCCACUCUCCUGUCUGGUCACGUUCCUGGCCACCAAGGCUGUAUCUGUAAGUCUGUGGUAAGGUGGCCUUUGGGGUGGUACCCAAUCUUGUAAAAGUAUCCAGUUGUGGGUCAGGACAGGAAGAAGCCGGCCUUCAAGAUAGUUGCUUAGAGCCUGCAAAGCUUCUCUCAAAGGGGACUGCAGUACACAAAGAGCCCAGGACACCAUGGAUUCGGGAGCCUGUGUUCACCUCCCCAGGGUGCUGUCUCUCCUGGAUGUGUUCUUGUGAACAAAGGCCAGAAUACAAUGGACUGUGAUGUUUGUUCCAAAAAAGAAGGUUCAGAGUUAUAGGGCCCAGCUAUGAUGAGCUCAAUAGAGGCCCAGGGCUUACCCUAAGGCAAUACCUGGCGGGUUCCAAGUGAGACCACUCAGGUACCACUCAGGAACAGACCAUCCAAAAGAAAUUCCUAAUGUUCCAACUGUUGUAGAAAGGAUCACCUGAUGUCCCUUAGCCCAGCACACCCAUCCCCCUUCACCAAGACACCCCUAGACAAAUGUCAGCCAAUCAGGGGUCCUGAACCUUAGAAAUCCCUCACCUCAACCUCUGCUAUUAUAAAAACUCACCCAACUGACUCAAGGCUCUCUGAAUGUGCCAAUGUAUCGGAUGCACAGAGUCUGAAUUCAAACUUUACUUUUACACACGUGACUCCGUCUCCUUGUUGGUUUGGGGGGGGGGGGUGACUGUGAACUGGGCAUAACAAUAGUCAGAAACACCUGAUGCAAAAGCCCUUGCCUCUCUCCUCAACUCUGUUCUGUUCUCUUUGCCAGAACUCUAACAGUGGUGAAAACAUUGGCAGUUUGGGGUAAUCUACACACUGAAAAACAGAGACACAAAAAAAUCACAGUAAGCACAUGGGAUUCCAAAUCAAAGUCUGGGUCUUUUAUGUAACCAUGUCAUUCAUUAGCACUAUGACCUUAGGCAGGAUGAUGAACGCCAUAGAAACCCCUUAUCUUCACUGAUGAGGGAACUGUGACACCUAAUUCCUCAAAGUGCCCAGGGGAUUAAAAAAUUAAUAUGCAUGACAAUGGGACAGGACAAGACUGCAAAGGUUCUUCCAUCUUACAUUCUUUCUGGGACCAUUUUAGGUUUAGCUAGAAUUUGAUCACCUUGAUGGAAAGCCCGGUGGAAAAUUACCCAAGUCUACUCUAGGUACCUGAGGUCAAGCUGCCCCAGCUAACUUAUCUGAGCUUCUGUUAAACUGCUUGCUUGCACAAAACCUCCCCUUCCAGCUGCUGAGCCUGAUACCAAGAUGUGGUUUGUUGCCUUUUAAAACCCCUUACUCUAAAUGCUUGGCAUUAUACUUGGGUACUGAAUGCCUGAGUGUAGUCCUGGCCAGCUGGAAUAAAGACUUCUGGAAACUG